UUUAAAGGUGAAGAGACUGGAGAUCAAAGAGGUUAAAUGACUUUCGCAGGAUCGCCAGCAAAUGAACACCUUGAACUGUAGUUUUUAACCUCUAAAACCAGAUGCCUUUAACCAUGGUCCUAAACCACCAGCUCACUCGGUAGCCAGUGAGCUGAGGGAAGGACAGGUCAGAGGAGAAAGGCAUCAGCCACCACAUUAAGCCGCCUUGACAGGAAGGGAUAUAUACGGGGGCAAAGAUGGGGAGCUUGGUAGGGAUGAGGCCCUGGGCACACAGACGUGGUGCUGUUUAGACAUGGCAGUGACCUCCCCGCCCAGAGGAGGUGAGCCCUGAGCAGCAGUUCCAGCCAGCCUCAGCUGACCCGGGUGAGGUGUUUUGUCGUUUGUCGUGUUGUGCUGCUCGUUUGUCACACACAUCCUUUGUGGCCUGUAGCAAAUCAUCUGCCUCUUUGGGUUUGUGCAUUAUCCCUGCUUUACCUUCCCCAGCGUUGUUGCGUGGAACAAAUGAGGGGUUGAUAUGACACAACUCAGUAAUCCUACUUGUCGGAAUGUAUUGUACUAAGAUAAAAGAAGGGAAACAACCAUAAGGCAGGAAAUUUGCUGUUCCACUCACACAGAGCUUCUUCACGUCGCUUUCUCUCUGUGGCUCUCACCUCAGACCUCCACUUGGCUGCUGGCCAUCAGGUGACCUCAGGUGGGACUUUGCUGAGAAACAGAGGCAACCAGAUGGUGCCCCAUCUUCCCUGCUGACCCACUUGCCCCCACGCCUGGGUUCUCUGCUCGCCCUCCUGCCCCUCUGGAAGGCCGUCCCCGAUGCUGUCAGAGGCCAGUCCUCACCUGAGUUCUGGUCCUGGGCACACUCCUGACUGGCUGCAAGAAAUCAUCCCUUGAGGUUAGGAGGCCUCUUACCACGGAUGUGCUAAAACAGAGCUGUGUCUUCCCACCCUCCUGCCUGGAGUCGCACCUCUUCUUCCUCGUUUCAGUAAGUGGCACAGGGCACCCCCAGCCAUGUCAUUGCUGAAGCCAGAAACUCGGAGGUAAUCUCUGAUUCUCUCUUUGCCCUCCCGGCACGUUCACUCCAUCAGCAAAUCCUACUGGCCCAGCUUUGAAGCUGUCUCCGGAGUCUGCUCCUGCCACACCUUCCACCUGUCCUGUCCAGUUACCAAGCGUGCAGGGCAGCACUGUGGCCUCCUCGCUGGGCUCUCUGCUCCCAGCCUCGCCCUCUCUGCCAUUCUGUCUCCACUCAGCACCGAAGAGAUCUGGUCAAAAGUA
rnacentral:lncRNA from 1 species